UGAUUUGCUUUAUAAGUCUGAACGAAUCAUGAGAAGUCAGCCGAAGCCAUAGUAGUCACGAAGCUUCUGUAAUGGAAGUGGAGCGAAGGGC
rfam:Streptococcus sp. FF10 genome assembly, contig: CONTIG000004